AGAGUUUGAUCCUGGCUCAGGAUGAACGCUAGCGACAGGCUUAACACAUGCAAGUCGAGGGGCAGCACAGGUAGCAAUACCGGGUGGCGACCGGCGCACGGGUGAGUAACGCGUAUGCAACUUGCCUAUCAGAGGGGGAUAACCCGGCGAAAGUCGGACUAAUACCGCAUGAAGCAGGGGCCCCGCAUGGGGAUAUUUGCUAAAGAUUCAUCGCUGAUAGAUAGGCAUGCGUUCCAUUAGGCAGUUGGCGGGGUAACGGCCCACCAAACCGACGAUGGAUAGGGGUUCUGAGAGGAAGGUCCCCCACAUUGGUACUGAGACACGGACCAAACUCCUACGGGAGGCAGCAGUGAGGAAUAUUGGUCAAUGGCCGAGAGGCUGAACCAGCCAAGUCGCGUGAAGGAAGAAGGAUCUAUGGUUUGUAAACUUCUUUUAUAGGGGAAUAAAGUGGAGGACGUGUCCUUUUUUGUAUGUACCCUAUGAAUAAGCAUCGGCUAACUCCGUGCCAGCAGCCGCGGUAAUACGGAGGAUGCGAGCGUUAUCCGGAUUUAUUGGGUUUAAAGGGUGCGUAGGUGGUGAUUUAAGUCAGCGGUGAAAGUUUGUGGCUCAACCAUAAAAUUGCCGUUGAAACUGGGUUACUUGAGUGUGUUUGAGGUAGGCGGAAUGCGUGGUGUAGCGGUGAAAUGCAUAGAUAUCACGCAGAACUCCGAUUGCGAAGGCAGCUUACUAAACCAUAACUGACACUGAAGCACGAAAGCGUGGGGAUCAAACAGGAUUAGAUACCCUGGUAGUCCACGCAGUAAACGAUGAUUACUAGGAGUUUGCGAUACAAUGUAAGCUCUACAGCGAAAGCGUUAAGUAAUCCACCUGGGGAGUACGCCGGCAACGGUGAAACUCAAAGGAAUUGACGGGGGCCCGCACAAGCGGAGGAACAUGUGGUUUAA
rnacentral:rRNA from 1 species